CAGAUUUAAUGAUGAUCCUCAAAUCACCAUCUUUCGGCUGAAGAAGAGAUGACACUUUUUGAUCUGAAACUGCAG